GUGGGGAAUUUUGGACAAUGGGGGCAACCCUGAUCCAGCAAUGCCGCGUGUGUGAAGAAGGCCUUCGGGUUGUAAAGCACUUUUGUCCGGAAAGAAAACUUCGGGGCUAAUACCCCUGGAGGAUGACGGUACCGGAAGAAUAAGCACCGGCUAACUACGUGCCAGCAGCCGCGGUAAUACGUAGGGUGCGAGCGUUAAUCGGAAUUACUGGGCGUAAAGCGUGCGCAGGCGGUGCUGUAAGACCGAUGUGAAAUCCCCGGGCUUAACCUGGGAACUGCAUUGGUGACUGCAGCGCUGGAGUAUGGCAGAGGGGGGUGGAAUUCCACGUGUAGCAGUGAAAUGCGUAGAGAUGUGGAGGAACACCGAUGGCGAAGGCAGCCCCCUGGGCCAAUACUGACGCUCAUGCACGAAAGCGUGGGGAGCAAACAGGAUUAGAAACCCUAGUAGUCC
rnacentral:rRNA from 1 species